GGAGUGGACGCAUCACUGGUGUUCGGGUUGUCAUGCCAAUGGCACUGCCCGGUAGCUAAAUGCGGAAGAGAUAAGUGCUGAAAGCAUCUAAGCACGAAACUUGCCCCGAGAUGAGUUCUCCCUGACCCUUUAAGGGUCCUGAAGGAACGUUGAAGACGACGACGUUGAUAGGCCGGGUGUGUAAGCGCAGCGAUGCGUUGAGCUAACCGGUACUAAUGAACCGUGAGGCUUAACCUUACAACGCCGAAGGUGUUU
rnacentral:rRNA from 1 species